rnacentral:rRNA from 1 species
GACGAACGCUGGCGGCGUGCUUAACACAUGCAAGUCGAACGGAAAGGCCCCUUUGGGGGUACUCGAGUGGCGAACGUGUGAGUAACACGUGAGUAACCUGCCCUUGACGUCGGGAUAACUUAAGGAAACUGGGGCUAAUACCGGAUAGGAAUCCUUGCUGCCUGGUGGGGGUUGGAAAGCUUCGGCGGGUUUGGAUUGACUCGCGGCGUAUCAGCUUGUUGGUGGGGUAGUGGCUUACCAAGGCUUUGACGGGUAGCCGGCCUGAGAGGGCGACCGGCCACAUUGGGACUGAGACACGGCCCAGGCCCCUACGGGAGGCAGCAGUGGGGAAUAUUGCUCAAUGGGCGGAAGCCUGAUGCAGGCACGCCGCGCGCGGGAUGACGGGAUUCGGGUUGGAAGCCGCAUUCAGCAGGGGCGAAGCUUGUGGUGACGGUACCUGCAGAAGAAGCACCGGCUAACUACGUG